AGUUCCGGGCCCGGGCUGCCUCCUUACGCAGAACCUCCCCCGAUCCUGCGUGUCCCGUGCUCCUCUCCGAGACCCCGGUCGCCCCAGCGUCCGCAGCAGUCCUGGAAAAAUGUUUAUUUGUGUAGCAAAGCAGGGAGCGGGGCGGCGGGGCUACUUCUUCUUUUUCUUGGCCGCCUUGAGCUUCCCCUCGAUUAGCCGCUGCGCCUGCCUCUUGAUCUCGGCGCGCGAAGGGACGUAGCUGUGGUCCAUGUCGGGGAACUGGAAGGUGUCUGCGGGCGGAGGCGGCGGCUCGCACACGGGGCUAGCCCAGCUAGGCGCAGCCGCCCGACCCGCCUCUCGCCCCCGCCCUCCACCGACCCGGGCCAGGUGCCUUGCCCCAGGGACAGCCCCAGCGUGCCGGGAGGACUCAGCCCAGCCCAUUCGCAGCGGCUCACGCUGCCCUGCCUAGCCUUUCCCGCAGAACCCCCAGUGGAAGCUCCGGCCCAGGCCUUCACCGCGCUCCUCCCUGCUCCAGCCCUGGUGCCUCUCCUCCGGGCCCGUCUGGCAUGGCAUGCCUCCUCCUUUCGGAGAAAUUAACAAGGUAUUUCAGUGGCUUUAGCCUCCCCAUGGCAUCACUAAGUCACCUCCAUCAAUUAAAGUCCUGCAGGUACAACUGAUGCACCCUGUAGCCCCGCUGUCCCUCCAGGAUGUCCCGGUGGGAUGGGAGCCGGCGCCACCCCGACCUGUGUUCCAGCCACCCGCCUGCAGCCCGGGCCCCAGUUCCGGGGCCUGUACCGAUCAUAUCCUCCUCCCGGUUCUCAAAGCUGAUCCUGGUGUUGUACUUCUCCAUCAGAGUCGAGGACUCCAGGGUGUCCCUCACCUUUGUGUCGCCCUGCAGGGCAAAGCCCCCUUCAGCCGUGCAGACACUCUGAACGGGAGCCUGUCAGCUUUGAGGGGACGUGGGCUGUGCAGGUUCCUCCCAGCCCGGGGCUACCUCCUCGGUCCUGGACACCAUCUGCACUCUGUCAGCCAGGUACGUGAGCUUCCCCUCGCAGUACGCCAGCUUGCUGUUCAAAUCGAGGGUGUUGGAGAGCACCACUUCUCUCUGUAGGCCGGGAGGAGGGUCUCAUCUCCCCUCUGGCCCUGCCCAGGGACCUGGUGUGUGGCAGCUCAGCCUCACUCCCGGUACCUGGGUCGCAGGCAAGUUAAUGCCCAUCAGCCGGACAUAGAGGUUGUCGAUGCCCAUCUGGAUGGUCAGCAGCAGCUCCUGGCCCUUGGUCAUGUUGCUGUGCGCCAGCUGGAGCCUCUCUUCUUCCUCUUUUAGCAUGUCUGUCAUUUUCUUCUCAACGGACUUGAAGCUGCAGAAGGCAAUAGGGACACAGCAGUGAGGGGCACAGGCCCGAGAGCCAUGGUGGGCCACCCAGGAGCCCAGUCCUGAGUUGGGUGCUGUGCCAGAAUCAGGGACUCAGAAGCUCAGGUGUGUGCAAGUGGAGUCCCCUGGCCCCUCUGUGGGACACACAGGCUUGUUGGCAGUGGGUAUACUCCCAGCUCCCAGCCUGGCUGCAGCCCGGGGCCUUUGUGAGACUGGGGUGGGUGGCCCGCAGCCCCGGAAGCCCGGGGCACCUGAUGGAGCUAGGCUUCUGGCGGAACUUGAGCACGGCCUCCUCCAGCUCCAGCUGCUUCACCAGGGCCUUCAGCUGCACCCGCCACUCCUCACAGUCCUCCAUCUGCAGCUCCAGGUUCUCCUCCGUGUUCCUCUGGGCCAGGAAGCGGCUAGUGAUGUCCUGGCCAGUCCGGGGGAGAGAGAAGCAGGUGUGGGCCAGGAUGGUGGGCAGAGGGGGCUUCACAGAACUGGUUUCUUCUGGGCCCCUCCUAGACGCUAGUGCACUUUCUCUGUGCUCAUUCACAAGUGUGAUCACAGCUCACUGCAGCCUCAACCUCCCAGACUCAAGCGAUCCUCCCACCUCAGCUUCCUGAGUAGCUGGGACCACAGGUGUGCACCACCACACUUAGCAGGGGUGAAGCGCUUUGUGGAUGUCAUUGCACACGACCCUAAUGGCAGGCAGAGAGGGUAGAUAACCCCAUGUAGAGAUAAGGAGAUCAUCACUGAAGGACGUUGUGUCACUUGAGUCACUUGUCUGACAGUGGACAAGCUUGUGUCAGGGCAGUGGUUAGGAGCUCAAGGCCUAAUAAUAAUAAACGCAGAUACACAGAUGGGAUUAAGAUAAAAGGAUUUGGGGCGGCCGA
rnacentral:lncRNA from 1 species